rnacentral:tRNA from 1 species
GUUAAUGUAGCUUAAUAAUAAAGCAAAGCACUGAAAAUGCUUAGAUGGAUUCUCUAUCCCAUAAACA